AUCUGGAUGACGAGCCCCAAAUAGGACGAAAUACACGGUAUCCUGGAU
rnacentral:hammerhead_ribozyme from 1 species